rnacentral:rRNA from 1 species
UUUUAUGAGAGUUUGAUCCUGGCUCAGGACGAACGCUGGCGGCGUGCCUAAUACAUGCAAGUCGAACGCUUCUUUUUCCACCGGAGCUUGCUCCACCGGAAAAAGAGGAGUGGCGAACGGGUGAGUAACACGUGGGUAACCUGCCCAUCAGAAGGGGAUAACACUUGGAAACAGGUGCUAAUACCGUAUAACAAUCGAAACCGCAUGGUUUUGAUUUGAAAGGCGCUUUCGGGUGUCGCUGAUGGAUGGACCCGCGGUGCAUUAGCUAGUUGGUGAGGUAACGGCUCACCAAGGCCACGAUGCAUAGCCGACCUGAGAGGGUGAUCGGCCACAUUGGGACUGAGACACGGCCCAAACUCCUACGGGAGGCAGCAGUAGGGAAUCUUCGGCAAUGGACGAAAGUCUGACCGAGCAACGCCGCGUGAGUGAAGAAGGUUUUCGGAUCGUAAAACUCUGUUGUUAGAGAAGAACAAGGAUGAGAGUAACUGUUCAUCCCUUGACGGUAUCUAACCAGAAAGCCACGGCUAACUACGUGCCAGCAGCCGCGGUAAUACGUAGGUGGCAAGCGUUGUCCGGAUUUAUUGGGCGUAAAGCGAGCGCAGGCGGUUUCUUAAGUCUGAUGUGAAAGCCCCCGGCUCAACCGGGGAGGGUCAUUGGAAACUGGGAGACUUGAGUGCAGAAGAGGAGAGUGGAAUUCCAUGUGUAGCGGUGAAAUGCGUAGAUAUAUGGAGGAACACCAGUGGCGAAGGCGGCUCUCUGGUCUGUAACUGACGCUGAGGCUCGAAAGCGUGGGGAGCAAACAGGAUUAGAUACCCUGGUAGUCCACGCCGUAAACGAUGAGUGCUAAGUGUUGGAGGGUUUCCGCCCUUCAGUGCUGCAGCUAACGCAUUAAGCACUCCGCCUGGGGAGUACGACCGCAAGGUUGAAACUCAAAGGAAUUGACGGGGGCCCGCACAAGCGGUGGAGCAUGUGGUUUAAUUCGAAGCAACGCGAAGAACCUUACCAGGUCUUGACAUCCUUUGACCACUCUAGAGAUAGAGCUUCCCCUUCGGGGGCAAAGUGACAGGUGGUGCAUGGUUGUCGUCAGCUCGUGUCGUGAGAUGUUGGGUUAAGUCCCGCAACGAGCGCAACCCUUAUUG